AGGUUAAGUUGAAGAGACGGAGCCGCAGCGAAAGCGAGUCUGAAUAGGGCGUUUAGUACGUGGUCGUAGACCCGAAACCAGGUGAUCUACCCAUGUCCAGGGUGAAGUUCAGGUAACACUGAAUGGAGGCCCGAACCCACGCACGUUGAAAAGUGCGGGGAUGAGGUGUGGGUAGCGGAGAAAUUCCAAUCGAACCUGGAGAUAGCUGGUUCUCCCCGAAAUAGCUUUAGGGCUAGCCUUAAGUGUAAGAGUCUUGGAGGUAGAGCACUGAUUGAACUAGGGGUCCUCAUCGGAUUACCGAAUUCAGUCAAACUCCGAAUGCCAAUGACUUAUCCUUAGGAGUCAGACUGCGAGUGAUAAGAUCCGUAGUCAAGAGGGAAACAGCCCAGAUCGCCAGCUAAGGUCCCAAAGUGUGUAUUAAGUGGAAAAGGAUGUGGAGUUGCUUAGACAACUAGGAUGUUGGCUUAGAAGCAGCCACCAUUUAAAGAGUGCGUAAUAGCUCACUAGUCGAGUGACUCUGCGCCGAAAAUGUACCGGGGCUAAAUACACCACCGAAGCUGCGAAUUGAUACCAAUGGUAUCAGUGGUAGGGGAGCGUUCUAAGUGCAGUGAAGUCAGACCGGAAGGACUGGUGGAGCGCUUAGAAGUGAGAAUGCCGGUAUGAGUAGCGAAAGACGGGUGAGAAUCCCGUCCACCGAAUGCCUAAGGUUUCCUGAGGAAGGCUCGUCCGCUCAGGGUUAGUCAGGACCUAAGCCGAGGCCGACAGGCGUAGGCGAUGGACAACAGGUUGAUAUUCCUGUACCACCUCUUUAUCGUUUGAGCAAUGGAGGGACGCAGAAGGAUAGAAGAAGCGUGCGAUUGGUUGUGCACGUCCAAGCAGUUAGGCUGAUAAGUAGGCAAAUCCGCUUAUCGUGAAGGCUGAGCUGUGAUGGGGAAGCUCCUUAUGGAGCGAAGUCUUUGAUUCCCCGCUGCCAAGAAAAGCUUCUAGCGAGAUAAAAGGUGCCUGUACCGCAAACCGACACAGGUAGGCGAGGAGAGAAUCCUAAGGUGUGCGAGAGAACUCUGGUUAAGGAACUCGGCAAAAUGACCCCGUAACUUCGGGAGAAGGGGUGCUUUCUUAACGGAAAGCCGCAGUGAAUAGGCCCAAGCGACUGUUUAGCAAAAACACAGGUCUCUGCGAAGCCGUAAGGCGAAGUAUAGGGGCUGACACCUGCCCGGUGCUGGAAGGUUAAGGAGAGGGGUUAGCGUAAGCGAAGCUCUGAACUGAAGCCCCAGUAAACGGCGGCCGUAACUAUAACGGUCCUAAGGUAGCGAAAUUCCUUGUCGGGUAAGUUCCGACCCGCACGAAAGGUGUAACGAUUUGGGCACUGUCUCAACCAGAGACUCGGUGAAAUUAUAGUACCUGUGAAGAUGCAGGUUACCCGCGACAGGACGGAAAGACCCCGUGGAGCUUUACUGUAGCCUGAUAUUGAAUUUUGGUACAGUUUGUACAGGAUAGGCGGGAGCCAUUGAAACCGGAGCGCUAGCUUCGGUGGAGGCGCUGGUGGGAUACCGCCCUGACUGUAUUGAAAUUCUAACCUACGGGUCUUAUCGACCCGGGAGACAGUGUCAGGUGGGCAGUUUGACUGGGGCGGUCGCCUCCUAAAGUGUAACGGAGGCGCCCAAAGGUUCCCUCAGAAUGGUUGGAAAUCAUUCGUAGAGUGCAAAGGCAUAAGGGAGCUUGACUGCGAGACCUACAAGUCGAGCAGGGACGAAAGUCGGGCUUAGUGAUCCGGUGGUUCCGCAUGGAAGGGCCAUCGCUCAACGGAUAAAAGCUACCCCGGGGAUAACAGGCUUAUCUCCCCCAAGAGUCCACAUCGACGGGGAGGUUUGGCACCUCGAUGUCGGCUCAUCGCAUCCUGGGGCUGUAGUCGGUCCCAAGGGUUGGGCUGUUCGCCCAUUAAAGCGGUACGCGAGCUGGGUUCAGAACGUCGUGAGACAGUUCGGUCCCUAUCCGUCGUGGGCGUAGGAAAUUUGAGAGGAGCUGUCCUUAGUACGAGAGGACCGGGAUGGACGCACCGCUGGUGUACCAGUUGUUCUGCCAAGGGCAUAGCUGGGUAGCUAUGUGCGGAAGGGAUAAGUGCUGAAAGCAUCUAAGCAUGAAGCCCCCCUCAAGAUGAGAUUUCCCAUAGCGUAAGCUAGUAAGAUCCCUGAAAGAUGAUCAGGUUGAUAGGUUCGAGGUGGAAGCAUGGUGACAUGUGGAGCUGACGAAUACUAAUAGAUCGAGGACUUAACCAU
rnacentral:rRNA from 3 species